GCAAGACAAUGGAUUUAUGCUGGGCCUCUCUCUGUGGGCCUCUCAUAGUGCAUCCAUGCCAGGGUAAAUUGCAGCCUCAAACCAUUGCCCAGCUUCCUUACCUGUGGGCUGGGAGCAAUGAAGAGGGUUGUACAGUG
ensembl:snoRNA small nucleolar RNA SNORA42/SNORA80 family